GGCUUCUUGCUGGCAUCUCUGCACCUCUCCUCUCCGUUUUUGGCGUCUGCCUUGGUCUCGCCUUGCUUGCCCUCCUGAGAAUUCAGAAAAGAAAAAUAAACAUGAAGAGCUGGCUGUGGAGGGAGACGAAUGGACUUGGGGGCACUCAGUAAGCACUUUGCUAAGGACCUGCCCUCUCUGUGAGGAGGCUGGGGUCUGCCAGGGGAGCCGACUUCAGGAUCGCUCUGCUGGGACUGGGGCCAGGAAUGAGUGGGGCUGGGGCCUCGCAGCGCCGGCAGCUGAGAGCUCAGAUGUUGCCUUAAAAGGAGAAGCAGCCUGCGGCCUCCCAGGGCUGGGAUUUCCACGGAGCCAAGCUCCUCGGCACAAAGCAGAGCUGCCUCCUGGCUCGUCAGAGACUUCUGCCUCUAGAACUGGGUGUGCAUCCUGGUGACCUCCAGAGGCCCCCUACAGGCUGCAGCCAGAGCCCGGGAUGAAGCCCGGACCUCUCAGCUGGCAUGCGGCUCUUGGUGACCUGGCUGGAGCCCACGUCUGAGCCCGUCCCCUCCUGCCUGCACUCAGGCCACCCUGUGCCCGGCUGCCUUUGGGUGCCGUUCCUGCCAUCCAGGGUGUCCUGUGUCCACCCCCCAACCCCGGCUCUGGCAUCCCCAGAUGCUCAACUUCCCUCAUCCAUCUCUUUCACCCUCCUUCCUCCUUUUUAACUUUUUAUUAAGGGCACUGCAGGUGCACAAAACUGGAGCAUGGCAACCUCUGGACACCCAGUCAGUGACGCCAGCCCACCUGUGUUCCUCCCACCCCCGGAUUAUUCUGAGGCAAAUUCCAGGUACAUGGUUUCAUGCACCGAAAAAAUCAGUGUGACCACUAAAAGACAGAAACUUUGUUGGAGUUCCCAUCGUGGCUCAGUGGUUAACGAAUCCG